rnacentral:rRNA from 1 species
UACGAAGGGUGCAAGCGUUACUCGGAAUUACUGGGCGUAAAGCGUGCGUAGGUGGUUUGUUAAGUCUGCUGUGAAAUCCCCGGGCUCAACCUGGGAAUGGCAGUGGAUACUGGCAAGCUAGAGUGCGGUAGAGGGAUGUGGAAUUCCCGGUGUAGAGGUGAAAUGCGUAGAGAUCGAGAGGAACACCAGUGGCGAAGGCGGCAUCCUGGACCAGCACUGACACUCAGGCACGAAAGCGUGGGGAGCAAACAGG